AGCGAACGCUGGCGGCAGGCCUAACACAUGCAAGUCGAACGGACCCUUCGGGGUUAGUGGCGGACGGGUGAGUAACACGUGGGAACGUGCCUUUAGGUUCGGAAUAGCUCCUGGAAACGGGUGGUAAUGCCGAGUGUGCCCUUCGGGGGAAAGAUUUAUCGCCUUUAGAGCGGCCCGCGUCUGCAUAGCUAGUUGGUGAGGUAAUGGCUCACCAAGGCGACGAUCAGUAGCUGGUCUGAGAGGAUGACCAGCCACAUUGGGACUGAGACACGGCCCAAACGCCGACGGGAGGCAGCAGUGGGGAAUCUUGCGGAAUGGGCGAAAGCCUGACGCAGCCAUGCCGCGUGAAUGAUGAAGGUCUUAGGAUUGUAAAAUUCUUUCACCGGGGACGAUAAUGACGGUACCCGGAGAAGAAGCCCCGGCUAACUUCGUGCCAGCCGCCGCCGUAACAC
rnacentral:rRNA from 1 species